rnacentral:rRNA from 1 species
AUUGAACGAUGGCGGCAGGCUUAACAAAUGCAAGUCGAGCGAGCGGGGGACGGGUGAGUAAAGUCUGGGAAACUGCCUGAUGGGGGGGGAUAAGCACUGGAAACGGAAGCUAAUACCGCAUACCAUCAGCUGGGCCGAGAUGGGAUUCGCUAGUAGGUGGGGUAAUGGCUCACCUAGGCGUCGAUCCCUAGCUGGUCUGAGAGGAGGACCAGCCACACUGGAACUGGGACGCGGACCGGACUCCUACGGGAGACAGCAGUGGGGAAUCGUGCACGAUGGGCGAUAGCCUGAUGCAGCCAUUCCGCGUGUGGGAUGAGGGCCUGCGGGUGGUAAAGCACUCUCGGCGAGGAGGCGUUACUCGCAGAAGAAGCACCGGCGAACUCCGUGCCAGCAGCCGCGGUAAUAC